CAUUGAUCUAGGCUGUCAAGCUGAGGGUUGAUUUGAAGGGUAACGUUGUGCACACUGAUGCAGUUUCUCUUGCUGUCAUCCACAUGACUCUUUGUGACUUCAUUUGACACUGUAUUAAGGUGUUUAAAGUGUGUCUUUGCAUUUCUUGCAUAACUGGAUCCUAUCUCAUUAAGGGUUGUGGACAUCAGCCUCUGGAGAGAAGAGAGUGGUGCUAACUCC
rnacentral:lncRNA from 1 species